ACUGAGUACGAGUUUGUAGUCCUCGGCGUCAGGAGUGAACGCUAGCGGCAGGCUUAACACAUGCAAGUCGAGGGGCAGCAUGAGGGUUAGCAAUAACUCUUGACGGCGACCGGCGCAAGGGUGCGUAACGCGUGAGCAACUUGCCCGUUUCUGGGGGAAUAACCGGUGGAAACGCCGACUAAUACCCCAUAGCAUUGGAUUUAGGCAUCUUAAUCCAAUUAAAGAAUUUCGGAAACGGAUAGGCUCGCGUGACAUUAGCUAGAUGGCGGGGUAACGGCCCACCAUGGCGACGAUCAGUAGCCGGUCUGAGAGGAUGAACGGCCACAUUGGGACUGAGAUACGGCCCAGACUCCUACGGGAGGCAGCAGUGGGGAAUAUUGGGCAAUGGGGGAAACCCUGACCCAGCAACGCCGCGUGAAGGAAGAAGGCUUUCGGGUUGUAAACUUCUUUUACCAGGGACGAAGACGUGACGGUACCUGGAGAAAAAGCCACGGCUAACUACGUG
rnacentral:rRNA from 1 species